CACUCUUUAAUAGCUUCUAAACAGUAGCUUUCUGGAUCUUUCCACAGCAUAGUGCUGCUACCACCAUGAAAAAAGCCAUUCUAACUUAAAAAGUGAAUUUGCCUCACCUCAUGUACUCCAACUACGGCUGCAUGCCUGUUGUAUAAGUGUAAGGAAGUGGCAAUACUUAGGUACCUAAGACUAUGAGAUUGGGAUGUCGGAUCCACCCUCCCCAGUGUCUUAAUUACAACAGAUGCGCCAGCUGGGGUCCAGUGCGCUACAGUUUGUAUGUGGUUUGCAGAGCCCAGAAGAGAACACCAGUGCUCUAGUGCUCUCUGCCUUACUCUCGAGACAAGGUCUGUCACCGAAUCGAACUCGCUAGUUCAGUUAGACCAACUAGCUAGUGAGCUCCAGGAUGUGCCUGUCUGCUCCACAGGGCUGGGCUCACAGGCAGGUGUGGCCAUGUCCAGUAUGAUUAAGUGGAUUCUGGGUAUUCAAAUUCAGAUAUCCAAGCUUGAGGAGCAAGAGUUCUCACUGAGCCAUACGGUUCAUCCAUACCUAUUCUCGCUGUGUACCAUGUACCCUCAAGUAUAAACCUGUUUAUGUAAAGUGCCUAGUUAAUCUUCACUCAAUGAAUAAAUAAAAUGAAGACACG
rnacentral:lncRNA from 1 species